rnacentral:ribozyme from 14 species
AAAUCAAAAGAGAAAGAAAGAAAUGAAAAACAGAUUUAUCGAUCCUUUUUGUCCAGUUUUUUUUUUUCUUC